GAUCACACUUGAAGUAUUUUCUCAUGUCUGUAGUACAAGCCCUUAGCAAAAAUUUGAAUGCUGUAUGACGUGAAGGACUGCUGACUGAUCACUGUGAUAUAGGACCUGUUGUUUAGGUAAGCAAGCUGGAAACCACAAAAAAUUAGAAUAUUGUAUUGUGGAACGGGAAGACUGACGUGCUACUGGAGGUAGGUUAUUGCUGUGAUACUGAAAUGAAUUUGCCCAACAGUAUUUUUUGGAAAAAAAAAAUAUAUUUGCUCUGUAUUUUCCAUAGGAGAACCAAUGAAUGGAGAACAGCUUCUUCAGCUGUUGGUGUGAAUGAUGAGUUGGCAACCUGCAACACUUUGCAGAAAGGACAGGAAAUGCCCUUGUCUAAUGUAGCAGGUCUUCUACUUUCCUCCAACCUGGCUGGAGCUGCCUGAACUGACGGUGAAGUUGGUUGGUGUUGGCUUGUAGGCUGUUGGGAGAGGAUGGUGAUUUCCAGGCAGCCAAGAGCCUAGCGGUACCUGAGUCCCUGAGAUCACAAGGUUCUCCUUGGGAAGGAGGUCUGCAGGUCCUGUAGUUCCCACUGGCUGCAGGUAGAAGACACUGUCUUGUUGCUGAAUGGGUAAUUAAUGAUGG